CACUGGGCAGCGUGACCAUCCAGGAUUCUCUGGGAACCUUGAGACAGUGUUAUUUACCUAUCCUUCCCUCUCCAAGUUGCAGCUUUCCACACUCUUCUGCCUCCCCUGCACACACUUCCUUCUCUGCAUACACAAACACCAAUGUGGAGCUGUCCCUUCCUCUCUCCGGCUGUCCUUCCUCAUUGCUGACAUGGGCAGAGGCUGGGUGGUGCUCGGGAAUAAAAGGGCUUCUCCUUUGACCGGAUGAACCAGCCUUUAUUUAGGAGGAUACCAUUUUCACCAGGGCUCUGAUGGAUGAGGAAAAGUGUAUUUUAUGGGCCGUGGGGAUGGCUCAUCAGAAGAGGACCUGCUGCGUCAGCAUAAGGCCCUGAGUUUGGAUUGCCAACAUCCACGUAGAAAGCUGGGUGCUGAAUCAGUACUAUAUCAUCAUAGUGCCACGGAAAGGUGGAGACAAGAGGAUCCAGAGGACUUAGCUGCCACCUGUCCAUGGAACCAGCGAACUCCAGGUUCAAUGAGACACCCUGUCUCAAAAAAUAAGGUGGAGCAUGAUUGAAGAUCCGUAAGGCUGAUCUCUGGCCUCUACAUUUGGGUGCAUUCAUGUAUACACACACACACACACACACACACACGAACGAAUGAAAAGUGUUUUAAAAGCCAACAACAAAAGCAAACGUCAGACCCGUUCUGGGCUACAUCCUGGCCUUGGCCUUAAAAUAGCUUUGAGUCCGUGCAGAUAGUACGUGUACAUGGUCAGGAUUUCCUGAGCCUCCGCCUCUCCUUUUCCUCUAUGCUUCUGAGCUUGUCUCUCACCCCACCCCCAUUUGCAUCUGUGGGAAUGUUCUGGAAAGUAGCCACCCUUGGGAUCCAGCUAGACACAAGUUCACAUUCCAGCUCAGCCAUAAACUUUCUGGGCAGAUAGCAGGCCAUUACCCUAGCAUCAGGACAUGAAAGGCUCUGGCAAGGUGACUGGGCAAUAAACAGAGAUGCAGGUGAGCUCUCCCCAAAGCCAACAUCUGAAGGACGUGAGUCCCCUUGUCUUUCCACAGCCUUUACCUCAGGCAUCAUCCCCACAGCUUAGAGAUCUCCUUGUGAGUCGGACAAGCCCCGUCUCUCCAGAGUAUUUGUGUCUACAUACCUAAGAAGUGCUGGCUGGACCAUGGUCUCAGCUGGUGACAUUUGUCUAGAAACAGUAGCUCAGAGAUAUUUUGAGACAGCUUGAGCCCAACAUCUGUCCCUAGGCCAGAAACACCCAAGUGUACACUCAAACCAGGAGCUGGCUUAGGGUGCCAUGAGCUAUACUUAGCCCCCAACGUGAACUAACAGUAGCCACCUGGGCAACACCAGUCAGGUCCAUGAAAGGAGACUUCUGCCUUGAACUUAAGUCACAUUAUUGCCCAAGUGACUGGUUAGACAAUCUGUGUGUCUACUGCUGUUCCUGUCCUCAGCAAGCAUAAGCCAAAGGAAGAGGGCAUCCUGGGGUUAGGCUACGUGCAGAACAUGCAGUCUCCCUCCUUCUCUCCUGUCCCUGGAGAGGGUGCAGGGCUGCACCAGGAUCCAGAGAUCUGGAUUCCACUCCACUCACGAUUCACAUUUAGCCCUGUGUAAGUCAUUCCCCAAGCUGCAUGCUGGCUGGAAGGCAAUAAUGGUAUCUGGCCUCUCCAGGCCCCUAAGGAUAACUCUGAGUAGUAAACAGGGGUGAACAUGCAGUUGGUGAACUGCCAGUUCUGUGCCUGGACAGUUCCGCUGACUGUUUCACAAAGCCCAUGAGAAAGGAAAAGGUCAAGGUUGUGUGUGUGUGUGUGUGUGUGUGUGAGGAUUAGGACCCACAUGUCUGGAGACACCUCUCCUAUUGUAGGACUGAGUCCUAGUCCUGCUUACUGCCCUUCCUCCACACCCAUGGGACACAGUAACAGUGUAUGCAGGUGGGGAGGGGCGGUAUGCUCUAGAAGCCGGCUGUAUGCCUAGGGCUAAUGGCAGGGCAAGUCAGGGGCACAGAUCUUGCUGGACCUUUUGAAAGCUUCCAAUAGCAAAUGUCAGACAGCCCCUGAGCGUGACUGGGGCAUCUCUGUGUCUCCCUGCUCUAAGAUGGUUGGGCUUGUUUUAUUAUGUAACCUAGUCCUGCAUCUUCCCUGGCACCUGGUCUACCACACUGGGAGUGCAGGGGGUGGGGGAGGAGCAGAUGGCCACUGGCUGUGGCCUUCCCUCCAGGAGCCAACUUGGAGCAGCCCAUUUCCUGCACCACUCUGGCUUUUUCUGGCUGAAAAUUGAGAGCUUCCUCAGUCAAGUCUGGAAAAUGUCAGUCUGGUCUCUAAUAAUGAGGACAGAGCAGGCUCUCUCUGUUUAAUUCUGCUUGCUAGAUAAUAAUUCAUAUGGUCAAAAAAGCAGUCAUUCCUUGCACCCUUCUGGCUGGUUCUUCACACACACACACACACACACACACACACACACACAGAGAGAGAGAGAGAAAGAGAGAGAGAGAGAAACAGACACACAGACACACAAAUAUGCACACAUACACACAGUCAUACACAAAUACAGAGACACACUUACAGACACACAUAGACAUGCACACCACAGACACAUACACACACACACAGAGAUAUACAUAUACAGAAACACACACAUACACAGACACACUCACAGACACACAUACUCACAGACAUACACACUGACAUACAAAGACACACACACACUUUCUCUCAUGGUCCUCCUACAAUGAGUAGUGAUUUAAUUUCCAUAUCCCCUUGUGGUAUUUCUUUAUGUAAAUUCAAACAUGUGUUCUGUUUUGCCCCCUCCCUCAGAUACACAAAGGUUGAGCACAGUGUUCCUCAUGUGUCCUCAGGGGUCUGGGAAGACCCUACUAGCAGCUGAAGCAGGACAGCCCAGGGCAUGAAGGGAUUGUUAGCCAGGGGAGGAAGAGGGGAGGAGCAAUCACUGAAUGAGGACCACAUGGAGCCAGGGAGCAGCGAGGGGGAGGGCUGAGGACCUGCUGCUGCACAGCAGAGGGCCCAGGGAGCCCACCAGCCUUGUCUCUCUUCUAGACCUCAGGUUCUGAAGCACAGGCCCUACUGGCAAUAACUUGCCAGAAGUCCCGGGAUAAGGAGGCCUGUGGACCCUACAAGUCAGCUGACCGGACCUAGAGCAUUUUACAACCACUGUGGAGAUCAGUGCAGAGAUGCCUCCCAAGAUGAAUGAAAACGAGAACAACUAUUUGACCCUGCCAAACAACCAUGUGACCCAGCCAAACCACCCCAGGUGCAGACCCACAGGAAUUCAAGUCAGCACCCAGCAGAGAGGCUGCAUGUUUGUCAGCCUGGAUGGCCAUCAACAGAUGGGCUAAUAAAGCAGGCACGGCACAUAGGCACCAUCAUACUCAGCUAUAAACGUUGAAGAUGGGUGGAGCCACACAUGAUCAUGCUAAGUAAUAUAAGCCAGACACAGGAAGACAAAUACCAUGUGCUUCUCACACAGACUUACAUCCGUCUGUCCAUCCAUCCAUUCCCCACGUGUGCGUGUAUGUGUAGGUCGUGAAACUAGAAAGAGGACCAUGAACAUGGAUGGGGGGAGAGGGAGUGAGGGAGGGUAACAAGCAUAUGGCUUGCUGGGAUGCUGGCGCCAGAGCUGCUGAGAGGAGUAUGGGGAGAGAGGGCUGAGGGGAAGGUUAACAAAGGCAAAGCCUACUGACAUGAACGCAUGAAAUAAUCAUAUCAAAACCCAUCCCUUUGCUGACUUAAAACUUAAGACAUAAAGUAGAGGGAGAUGCGGGUGGCUGGCAGGGUGGGAGGGACCCCAUGCUACAUGCAGAGGUUCAUCCUUCACACACAGAUGAAAAUGUCCCGUGCUGGACAUUUUUUAUGUCACUGACACUGUGGGGUUUGUCUCUCUUCGUGUUCUUCCAGAUUUCCCCUGCCUUCCCCCAGCACCACUGCUAAACUCAAGUCAUGGCUUGGCCCUGCUGUGUAAUAUGUCCCCAGCCUGGUCUAUAAUGCAUCCCCAGCCUGGUCUAUAAUACAUCCCCAGCCUGGUCUAUAAUACAUCCCCAGCCUGGUCUAUAAUGCAUCCCCAGCCUGGUCUAUAAUACAUCCCCAGCCUGGUCUAUAAUACAUCCCCAGCCUGGUCUAUAAUACAUCCCCAGCCUGGCCUAUAAUACAUCCCCAGCCUGGUGUAUAAUACAUCCCCAGCCUGGUGUAUAAUAUAUCCCCAACCUGGUCUAUAAUACGUCCCCAGCCUGGUGUAUAAUAUGUCCCUAGCCUGGUCUAUAAUACGUCCACAGCCUGGUCUAUAAUACAUCCCCAGCCUGGUGUAUAAUGCAUCCCCAGCCUGGUCUAUAAUACAUCCCCAGCCUGGUGUAUAAUAUAUCCCCAGCCUGGUCUAUAAUACAUCCCCAGCCUGGUCUAUAAUAUGUCCCUAGCUGGCUUCCCUUCAAAAUCUAUGUGUACAUCUCAAACCCUUUGUACAUCCUUUGUACUCAGGGGCCCUUCAGACCCUGACUGCUAGGAGCUUCACAUUUGAUUGCCUGACUCUUACUCUGUACUCUUGUUUCUCUCUCCCCCUCAUCCUGCCUGGAUCCUGAGCCAUGGCCUUGUGCGCUGCCAUCUUCCUCCCCAGGCUCUGCCUUGAUCACCAUAGAUGUGCUUCCUCAGCCUCACGCCAUGCCUCUGCCUGUCUCAGUGGGUGAAAUGAUCUAUCUGUAGGUAUGGAGACAGCUGAGGGAUACCUCAGCUUACAGGAUAGCCCAGCUGAAGACUUGCAGGCAGACCUCUCAGAUGACUGAAUACCUGAGCAGGGUGCAGAAGCUAGCUCACACCUGCACUGUGUCCACCCUGGCCUCUCUUUCCAUUGCCUCUGAUCAGCAGUUUCUUUGGUGGGAUUCCCUCUGUGGUACUCGAAAGCUCGGCCCCGCAGCAUGCCGCUUCUGUUGUAUCUUGUCAGUCUGCUCUGCUCUGUCCUGGCCUUCUAUUCCCUAGGAAUUCCUUAAUAAACACAUUGACCUUACACCUAACUGUCUGUAAUCACAACACUGGCUUUGGGGGGGGUUGUUGUUGUUGUUGUUGUUAUUUCUGUGUCCAUUUUAUUGCUUGAGUGGCAUUUGGGGAGGAGAGGACUGUGUCCUUAGCCACACUCAGCUAUGACAUGUGUAUUCUGCAAUUACAAUUACUUCAUGAGAAUAAGCUGCCAAGUGUGGGGUUGUUGGAUCAAGAAUGAGGAAAGUUUCUGGAACUGUUGAUAUGUUUGUCAGCUGGUCACCAGACUAAGAAGUGGAUGAAAGGGAAACUAUGAGGAGUGAGCUGUUGCAGGGUCCUUUACUUCAGCUGUAUGGUCUGCUGAAGAGGCCUUUCUGGGGCUGGAGACGUGGCUCGGUCAGUAGCGGGCUUACUAGGGUAAGCACAAGGACACUAGCCUGACCUUCAGACUCCACAGAAAGAUGCCAUGGCGGCAUUCACGGCUGGUGUGAGUAGUUCCCCCCUGGCCUCCACGUGCAUGCAUGCAUGUACGUGUGCACAGGGACAUUUAAAUUCCUAAGGAGAUUGUUCUGAACCUUAAUCUCAUUAGUGAGCCUGGAAUGGUGUUUCAAGGUUGAAUCAAUAUGAAUGGAUGACGGUGGACAUAGAGGAACACCUUCCCAAAUCCAGCCUUUAAAAAGGGCUUACUGAAAACUGUCAGCAGCAUGCCAUGUAGGUGGCUUUUCUGCACCAAAGAACUAUGGACUCAACCAAGUGCUUGGACAGCAUUCCUCUCCUUUGUCACUGUCAUUUCACACUUCUGGGUGAACCACUGCCUGCCUCGGCAUCUCCUGCUCCAAAGACAGAAACCUUCCUGAUGCAGCCCUUGAUGAUUCUCUUGGAGAUGCUUGAGUGGGAAUCCCUGCACAGACAUGGGGCUGCUUUGAUUGGAAGAAUCAGUCCUGAGUCCCUACCUAAAGCCCAGACUGAGCAAAGACAAGAUGUGUUCCUCCUUCUCAGUCCCAGCAGAUGUAAGCAGUCAUGCAAAAGAUAGAAAAACAGCUUGCACUCUAGGGUUAGGGUGGCUCAGUGGCAGAGCAAGUACAUAAUGCCCAGGGUUCAUUUCUUAGCCCCACCAACACAGAGAGAUGCCUGGUUCUUGUUCUAGGCCAGAGCCCAGAAAUUUAAUUUCUCCCUCAGCUGGGACAAAGGUUCUAAUGGCUUCUUUUAUUUUCCGGUUUGACUCAUUCAUCAGAAAUCCCCAGCAAAGCCGCUCCAGGGAGGCAGGCUGUACCCUGGCCUCAGUCUCAUGCUGGUCUGAACCCAAGAUGCCAGAGAACAAAUGUUUCCUGUGCUUCCAGCUGAGAGGAAGCCCAGAGAUGGUGUUCACUAGCAGGCUCCAAAGCCAUUGGCUCGGAAUGCAGUGGCCUGGUGGUGUCAGGAAACAUACGAGAUAAGGUUAUUUUUUUAAAGCCAGUUCAAUGGCAUAGGGGUAGAUUCAAAAGUGCGCACUUCCAGAAUAAAGGCAAGCCAAGCACGAUGGUCGGCCAGGCGCCAGCACCGUCAAAGGUCACUGAGUCAAGGUUCAGAGAGAAACAAGACUAAGUCAGGUGUGAGUGAGGAGUGUCUUAGUCACGACCAAAAGGCAAGUUGGGGAGGAAAGGGCUGAUUCAGCUUACACUUCCAGAUCAUAAUCCAUCAUUGAAGGAAGUCAGGACAGGAACUCAAGCAGGGCUGGAACCUGGAGGCUGGAGCUGAUACAGAGGCUAUGGGGGAAUGCUCCUUACUGGCUUGCUUCUACAUGGCUUGCUCAGCCUGCUUUCUUAUAGAACCACCAGCCCAGGGGUGGCACCACCCACCUUGGGCUGUGCCCCCCCCCAAUUGAUCACUAAUUGAGAAAAUGCCUUUCAGCUGGAUCUCAUCGAGGCAUUUCCUCAACUGAAGCUCCUUCCUCUCUGAUGACUCCAGCCCGUGUCAAGUUGACACACAAAAUCAGCCAGUUACAACUGACCCCUUGUCAAGUUGACACACAGACACAUCACUAUUAAGUCGAAACCUUUCCUUAUUUAUCCCCAAAGCCUGACAUUAAAAACAUAAUAACUUUAAAAGUCCCACCAUCUUUACAAAUUCAAACACAUUAAAAUUUUCAUCCCUUUAAAAUAUCCAAUCUCUUUCAAAAUCAAAGUCUCUUAAAAUUCAAAGUCUCUCAACUGUGGGAUCCAGUAAAAUACCUUACUUCAGGAGGGAAAAAUCAGGUCACAGUCUCAAUCAAAUGAAAGUAAAAUCAAACUCUAACCAUAAAAUGUCGGGGAUCCACUCAUGAUAUUCUGGGCUCCUCCAAAGGGCUUGAGUCACGUCUCCAGUUCUGCCCUCUGUAGCACACAGCCUGGUUCCAAGGUUCUGGCUGGCUCCACUCCCCUACUGCUGUUGUUCUUGGUGGUCGUCCCGUGGUACUGGCAUCUCUAACACUGCUUGGAUCUUCUGCUACAACUGGUCUGCAUUUUCACCAGUAGCCUCUCAUAGGCUCUCUUCAUGGUGCCAAGCCUCAGCUUUCUUGCAUGACUCCCUUAGUCCUGUGCCAUCAACCACCACUGUGGCUGCACCUUCACCAAUGGCCUCUCCUGACCUCUCCCAGUGCUGAGCCUCAGCUGCUCUUCAUGACCUCUUCACGCCUUCAAAACCAGCACCACCGGCGUGACUCUUAUACAUUACCAAGUCCAGCUGCAGCACAAGGUACAACCUUGGCUGUCUCUGGAACACAGAUUCUCUGUGCUCUCAGAGCUGUUCCAGCAAGACCCCACUACCCUGGCACUAACUGGUCUUAGUUAGGGUCGCUACUGCUGUGUUAAAUCAUUACAGCCAAAAACCAUGUUGGGGAGUAAAGGAUUGAUUUGGCUUAUACAUCCAGAUUAUAAUCCAUCAUUGGAGGACGUCAGGACAGGAACUCAAACAGGACUGGAACCUGGAGGCAGGAGCCGAUGCAGAGGCCAUGGAGGGGUGCUGCUUACUGGCUUGCUCCCCAUGGCUUGCUCAGCCUGCUUUCUUACAGAACCCAGAUCACCAGCCCAGGGAUGAUAUCACCCACAAUGGGCUGUGCCCUCCCCCAUUGAUCACUAAUUGAGAAAAUGCCUUUCAGCUGGAUCUCAUGGAGGUAUUUCCUCAACUGAGGCGCCUUUCUCUCUGAUGACUCUAGCUUGUGUCAAGUUGACACAAAACCAGCCAGUCCUCAUGCCCUCGAUGAUUGAACCAUCCCCCCACCCAGCCCAAAUUUAAGUCUUUGUUCUAUGACCUCAAAUGGCUUCUGAGGCCCUCUAGUGAGAUUUACGUUUAGCUAUUGUAUGUUUCAACUACAAAAUUUCUAUUUGGUGCCUAAAAGCAACUUCUCUGUCUUUAUUUAAAUUACUGACUUGGUGAGGCACUAUUCUGAUCCUUUCUUUUCAUUCUUUAGACAUUAUUUCCUUGAAUUGUUUGAAUAAUUUAUACAAGCUUAUUUAGAGUCUUCAUCUAAAAAUUCAAUGUAUGACUUCUGUAGUACUCUCCAUUGAUCAUGUGCCCCCUCCCGAAUUUACCAUAUUUUAAUGUUUCUUUGUUUGUCUCAUGAAACACUGGAGUAGGUAAUACAAUGUGGAGCAACGGCAACUACACAGAUCCUUCCACUUUCAGAGCUCCUUUUAAAACAUUUAUUUUUUAUUACAUGUGUUGGGUGUUUUGCCUGCAUGCAUAUAUGUGUACAUGUGCACCGGCAGAGGCCAGGAGAGGGCAUUACAUCCAUGGAAGUGUAGUUAGAGUCGGGAACUGAACUCAGGUCCUCUGUAUGAGCAGCCAGUGCCCUUAACCACUGAGCCGUCUUUCUAGGGCUUCUUAUUGCUACUGCUGAUUUUGUGGCUGCUGCUGCUGUCUGUGUCUUGUGGCCCCAGUAGAUUACUGAGGUAGUCUGUACUUCCUGUAGUGAAGGCCACAGGAGAUUCUGCUGGCUCCACUCAGCUGUCAGCUAAUGAGACAGUGAUUGCUUUGAGUGUGGUGAGCCCGCAGGUCCUUUAUAGUUGUCCAGAGGCUCUGUGUGGCCUGAGGUGUGUCUUUUGCUUAAGCUUUCCCCUUUUGCUUGUGAAAAGUUUCAUAGAAACAUAUGGCUUACACACAUACACUCACUCACUUACUCACUCACUCACAGACACACUCAUACUCACACACAAAUACACACACUCACAUUCACACUCUUAUACACACUCAUAUACACAUACACACAUUCAUUCACACACACACUCUUUCUCUCUCUCUCUCUUUCUUACACACACACAGACACACACACACACACACUCACAUACAGAGGCAUGGCACCUUUCUGCAAAUCAUGACUUUUUAGAUCCCCAGAUGAUGUCAAAGCUUUUUCUUCAUCAUAAAUUUUUGGCCAACCUUGUUUGUAUCAAUGUUUUCCCAUGUAACUUUAUAAAUAUUAUUUCUAAUAAUGUUAUUAGAUUUUUAUAUUAAAUUUUAAUUUGUAUGUGUUUUGCCCAUGUGUAUGUAUGUGCGCUGCUGUCAUGCCUGGUCCACGCACAGGUCAGGAGAGGACAAUGGGUCCCCAGACCUUGAGUUGAGAUGGUUAUGAAUCCCCAUGGUGCUUUCUGACACUCGGAACCCAGUCAGGUUCCGCACCAACACAGAUGUUGGCUCUCUGCUCUCAGCGUCUUCCUUCUAUCGUGAGGGGCUUCCAUCCACCUCUGUAACUCUGUUUAAAAUAAAGGAUAUGCCAAAGUGUCUGCAAAUGUGUUCUUAUUUAAAACCAAGCAGAGAUGACUUUGAUGUGUUUGACGCUGACGGCUCAAAGUGAGCCUGCUUUGCUCUCUCUUUUGGUUGAUGAGACAGAUCCCCU
rnacentral:lncRNA from 1 species